GAUGAACGCUAGCGGCAGGCCUAACACAUGCAAGUCGAGGGAGAAGCCCUUCGGGGCAGAAACCGGCGCACGGGUGCGUAACGCGUAUGCAACCUACCUUUCACAGGGGGAUAGCCCGAAGAAAUUUGGAUUAAUACCCCAUAAUAUUAUUGGAUGGCAUCAUUUGAUAAUUAAAAUUACGAUGGUGAAAGAUGGGCAUGCGUCCUAUUAGCUAGUUGGAGUGGUAACGGCACCCCAAGGCUACGAUAGGUAGGGGUCCUGAGAGGGAGAUCCCCCACACUGGUACUGAGACAGGGACCAGACUCCUACGGGAGGCAGCAGUGAGGAAUAUUGGUCAAUGGUCGGAAGACUGAACCAGCCAUGCCGCGUGCAGGAAGAAUGCCUUAUGGGUUGUAAACUGCUUUUAUAUGGGAAGAAUAAAGGAAGUACGCG
rnacentral:rRNA from 1 species